AUUGAACGCUGGCGGCAGGCUUAACACAUGCAAGUCGAACGAGUGGCGGACGGGUGAGUAAUGUCUGGGAAUCUAGCUUAUGUAGGGGGAUAACUACGGGAAACUGUAGCUAAUACCGCUUACCAUAGGAUGAGCCCACGUGGGAUUAGGUAGUCGGUGGGGUAACGGCUCACCAAGGCGACGAUCCCUAGCUGGUCUGAGAGGAUGAUCAGCCACACUGGGACUGAGACACGGCCCAGACUCCUACGGGAGGCAGCAGUGGGGAAUAUUGCACAAUGGGCGCAAGCCUGAUGCAGCCAUGCCGCGUGUAUGAAGAAGGCCUUAGGGUUGUAAAGUACUUUCAGUCGGGAGGCGUUACCGACAGAAGAAGCACCGGCUAACUCCGUGCCAGCAGCCGCGGUAAUAC
rnacentral:rRNA from 1 species